CGGACGGGUGAGUAAUGUAUGGGGAUCUGCCUGAUGGCGGGGGAUAACUACUGGAAACGGUAGCUAAUACCGCAUAACGUCGCAAGACCAAAGAGGGGGACCUUCGGGCCUCUUGCCAUCGGAUGUGCCCAGAUGGGAUUAGCUAGUAGGUGGGGUAACGGCUCACCUAGGCGACGAUCCCUAGCGGGUCUGAGAGGAUGAUCAGCCACACUGGGACUGAGACACGGCCCAG
rnacentral:rRNA from 1 species